rnacentral:rRNA from 1 species
CCUACGGGAGACAGCAGUGAGGAAUAUUGGUCAAUGGACGAGAGUCUGAACCAGCCAAGUAGCGUGAAGGAUGACUGCCCUAUGGGUUGUAAACUUCUUUUAUAUGGGAAUAAUAUGUUCUACGUGUGGCAUUUUGUAUGUACCUUAUGAAUAAGCAUCGGCUAACUCCGUGCCAGCAGCCGCGGUAAUACGGAGGAUCCGAGCGUUAUCCGGAUUUAUUGGGUUUAAAGGGUGCGUAGGCGGAUUGUUAAGUUAGUUGUUAAAGUGUGCGGCUCAACCGUAAAAUUCCAGUUGAAACUGGAAGUCUUGAGUUCAGAAGAGGUAGGCGGAAUAAGUGAAGUAGCGGUGAAAUGCUUAGAUAUAACGAAGAACUCCGAUAGCGAAGGCAGCUCACUAGACUGCGACUGACGCUGAGGCUCGAGAGUGUGGGUAUCAAACAGGAUUAGAUACCCGAGUAGUC